GUCCCUGUAGCGCAAUGGAUAGCUUGUUGGGGACUUCUAAUCCAAAGGUAGUAGGUUUGAAUCCUACCUGGUGGCC
rnacentral:tRNA from 1 species